rnacentral:rRNA from 1 species
CCCUUAGAUGUUCGGGGCCGCACGCGCGCUACACUGAAGGAAUCAGCACGUCUUUCUCCUUGUCCGAAAGGACUGGGUAACCCGCUGAACCUCCUUCGUGCUAGGGAUUGGGGCUUGUAAUUCUUCCCCAUGAACGAGGAAUUCCCAGUAAGCGCGAGUCAUAAGCUCGCGUUGAUUACGUCCCUGCCCUUUGUACACACCGCCCGUCGCUACUACCGAUUGGAUGGUCUAGUGAGAUCCUCGGAUUGGUCCCGGAGCGGCCUCUGGUCGUGCCGGAGUGCCGAAAAGAAUGUCGAACUUGAUCAUCUAGAGGAAGUAAAAGUCGUAACA